rnacentral:rRNA from 1 species
GACGAACGCUGGCGGCGUGCCUAAUACAUGCAAGUCGAGCGCAGGAAAUCGACGGAACCCUUCGGGGGGAAGUCGACGGAAUGAGCGGCGGACGGGUGAGUAACACGUAAAGAACCUGCCCUCAGGUCUGGGAUAACCACGAGAAAUCGGGGCUAAUACCGGAUGGGUCAUCGGACCGCAUGGUCCGAGGAUGAAAGGCGCUUCGGCGUCGCCUGGGGAUGGCUUUGCGGUGCAUUAGCUAGUUGGUGGGGUAAUGGCCCACCAAGGCGAGGAUGCAGAGCCGACCGGAGAGGGUGAUCGGCCACACUGGGACUGAGACACGGCCCAGACUCCUACGGGAGGCAGCAGUAGGGAAUCUUCCACAAUGGACGAAAGUCUGAUGGAGCAACGCCGCGUGAACGAUGAAGGCCUUCGGGUCGUAAAGUUCUGUUGUAAGGGAGGAACAUGUGCCGCAGGCAAUGGCGGCACCUUGACGGUACCUUGCGAGAAAGCCACGGCUAACUACGUGCCAGCCGCCGCAGUAA